AUUUCUUUUCAUCUGCGUCAAAAGGUCCCAUUAUCCUGAUUCUUCCUCCAGUCGCACAGGGUGAAGGAGAAGGCGUGCAGUAGAGGAGGAGAAUCGCGCGCCUGUUUAAAAGCAGAGGCUUCUUGUUGGAACUGCAAUUCCUCUAAUGUAGUCUAGAAACAAAUAAAAUAGGAAACAUCUUCCCUC